AUCCAAGGGAACCAGAGGUUGUAUCAGUAUCCAAGGGAACCAGAGGUUGUAUCAGUAUCCAAGGGAACCAGAGGUUGCAUCAGUAUCCAAGGGAACCAGAGGUUGCAUCAGUAUCCAAGGGAACCAGAGGUUGCAUCAGUAUCCAAGGGAACCAGAGGUUGCAUCAGUAUCCAAGGGAACCAGAGGUUGCAUCAGUAUCCAAGGGAACCAGAGGUUGCAUCAGUAUCCAAGGGAACCAGAGGUUGUAUCAGUAUCCAAGGGAACCAGAGGUUGCAUCAGUAUCCAAGGGAACCAGAGGUUGUAUCAGUAUCCAAGGGAACCAGAGGUUGCAUCAGUA